rnacentral:rRNA from 1 species
UACGGGGGGGGCAAGCGUUGUUCGGAGUUACUGGGCGUAAAGAGUGCGUAGGCGGUUUUCUAAGUUUGGUGUGAAAUCUCCCGGCUUAACUGGGAGGGUGCGCCGAAAACUGGAAGGCUUGAGUAUGGGAGAGGUAAGCGGAAUUCCUGGUGUAGCGGUGAAAUGCGUAGAUAUCAGGAGGAACACCUGCGGUGUAGACGGCUUACUGGACCAUAACUGACGCUGAGGAGCGAAAGCCAGGGGAGCAAACGGG